CGUGGGUAACCUGCCCAAGAGACUGGGAUAACACCUGGAAACAGAUGCUAAUACCGGAUAACAACACUAGACGCAUGUCUAGAGUUUAAAAGAUGGUUCUGCUAUCACUCUUGGAUGGACCUGCGGUGCAUUAGCUAGUUGGUAAGGUAACGGCUUACCAAGGCAAUGAUGCAUAGCCGAGUUGAGAGACUGAUCGGCCACAUUGGGACUGAGACGCGGCCCAAACUCCUACGGAAGGCAGCAG
rnacentral:rRNA from 1 species